rnacentral:lncRNA from 1 species
CUAAGUAAGAGGGAGAUUGAGUAGGACCUUACAGCAGGAGGGACUGAAUGGAAGACACUUCAGAAGGAAAAGAUAAACCAGAGUGGACAAAGGCUCAUAGGUAGUCAUGGGAAUGUGAACAGCAGGAAGAGGUGGAAAAUUCAUUAAUUAGAUAGCAAACUAUGAACUCAAUCUAGGAUAAGAGCUUAAUAUUUGUGAUAUUGUAAUUUAUAAUAAAUAUAUAAUUGGUCUUUAUCUCAAUUUUUGGCACAGAGCCCCUAAAACUCUUGGAAUUUCCUAAGUAAUAAAGGUGCCUUUUGUUAUAUUAAUAGAUGACUUUUAGAAAGUACCUAAGGAUGCUGGUUGCCAGGGAAGCCAACCACGUGAUGCAGAGUUGUAACUUUGAGUCCCAUCUUCUGAACUCCAGGAGGGGAGAGGAGCUGGAGACUGAAUGGCCAGUGGUCAGUGAUUUAAUCAAUGAUAUCAUAGAAUGAAGCCUCCAUAAAACCCUAAAAGGAAAGAGUUUGGAAAGCUUCUGUGUUGGUGAACAACUGGAGAUAUGGGAUAGUGGCACACUUGGAGAGGGCAUGGAAGCUUCACGCCCCUUCCCACAUACCUUGCCCUAUGCAUCAAUUCCAUCUGGCUGUUCCUGAAGAGUGUGUUGAAUUGAGUUGAACUAUAGGACACCCCGCUGAAAUCUGAGAAUUGCUUGAUUAUGCGGGGGGAAGCCCCUACACAUCGGAAUUAGUGCAAAAUUACAACCUUUAUCUUGUAGACAAUGGAUAUGCUUUUAUUUGGGGAGCAUGAGUUGUGAAUGAGCUUAUUUCCUCUACCUUUUCUCCCACAUUCACCUCCUCAAUGGUGUUCCAAGCUAGUCUCUCCAAUAGAUUUUCCAAUGUUGUUCCAAUAAUCUUUUCCCAAGGGAGUACUACACUAUGCCUAAGUGUUGGUAGGUUUUAUGUCCCAUUACCUUUACUGAGUCUCUUCCUGAACACAUCACAUGAGCACAAAUAACCACGUGUCAUCUACAUGCUUUGUUUUUUAACCCUUACACAUUUUAAAGGAACACCUUAAAGAGUCCCAUAUUACAGAGAACUGUAUAAACCUCAGGCAAAAUAUAACAGCACUAACUGGUCAUGAUAGGAAAACCAUCCCAGAACCAUGAUUACAAGAGAAAACAAACAAGAUGAAAAUUAUGCAGGCUAACUAGACAAUGUUAUCCAGUUAUUUCCUUUUAAACAAUGAAAACAAAAACGAUGAAGAAAAGUUUAAGUGUGACCACUGAUCCUGAAGAAGGAAGAAGAAUGUUUUAGGUACUCUUUCCUGCGCCAAGGUCAUCUGCUUUUCCCCAUCACCCCAUCAUAACUAAAAGGAAAAUGAAUACAUCCAAUGACAAUGAACUGGCUCCUAGGUGGCCUCAGUUGUCCACUACACUCCCACAAAUGACAGGAAAAGUCCUAAGGGCCAGGGAAUAACACUGACAACAGCAGGUAAAAGGUAUUAGAUUUGCUGAGUCUAUGGAAAGACAGAAUAGGAAAAAGAGUAAAAAUUGUUUUGAAUGUGAAGUAGCAAGCUGCUAAUCCCAUAGGGAUAAGGAUUGGGUCUAAAUUAAUCCUGCCCUUGGCAUGAACUGUACAGAAUCAGAUACUUCCACAGGCUUAACUCUUACAGUUAUGGCUCACCUGAUGCAGUGUGUGGGACAAAGGGUUUAGGUUGAACAGUUUAAAUAAUUGGCACAUUCUAAGAUUUUAAAAGAGGAGUUGCCAAUUAGUUUCUAUAAAGGGAGAGGUAGUAAAUAUUUUAGGUUCUAUGAGCCAUGCUCUGCCACAGCUACAGAAAUCCCAAGCAGGAAGGCAGCACUAGAGCACAUGUAGAAUGACGGGCGUGGCUGUGCACCUGCUCUAAAGUAUUAACCUCAGUUUACCGGAGUUGAGUCAAAGCAGGGCUCUUGGGAGUGAGGAUGCAUUGGUAGAUGAGAUUUAUUGUCAGAGAGGAAGGCUAAGCUCCAACUCCCAUAGCUUCUGCUAAUAAACAUCUCUCUAGGGAAAAUGCCUGCUGGCAAUGCAAAGGAAGCAGCAAUAUAAAUUCCAUAGAUCUCUUUCCAACUAGACUAUUGCAUUCAGACUCUACUCCAUCCAGAGCAAUGUUGUGACUUUCACGGCAUAGGAAAAUACAGAGAAUCUUCACCAAGCACAGGGAAUGAAUUCAGUGACCUUCGUACAUGUUGAGCAUGGAAUACAUUGCUUCUCAAAGCCAAGUCAAGGCAUCUCUGACGUGGCUCAGGGGAAAUGAAUCUCACUAACAUCUAUGAGGACACAGGCUUGAUCCCUGGCCUCACUCAGGGGGUUGAGGUCAAGCAUUGCCGUGAGCUGUGGUGUAGGUCACAGAUGUGGCUUGGAUCCCACGUUGCUGUGGCUGUGGUAUAUGCCAGCAGCUACACCUCUGACUUGACCCCUAGCCUGGGAACUUCCAUAAGCUGAGGGUGUGGCCCUUAAAAAAAAAAAAGACACACACACACACAAAGCCAAGUCAAAUGAAAUAUUUCAACAGUUUAAAUAAAACUGAAUUUUGAUCAUUGCACUACAGCAGCGGUCUUCAACUGGAGGUGAUUUGACAAUGUCUGGAGACACUUUAGGCUGUCAUAGCUGUAGAGUGGGUGCUGCUGGCAUCCUGUGGCUAGAGGCCAGCAGUGCUGCUAGAUAUCCUACCAUGCACGGGACAGUCCCCCACAACAAAGGAUGAGCCAGCCCAAAAUAUCAAUGGUGCCAAGUGGAAAAACCCUAUGCUGAUACUUAAAUAAAUUCCUCAUUAGUGAAUGUAAUUACAACAAAAAAUACAUUUUCUGGAGGAUUAUAGCAGGAAUUGACAGAACAUGGUAAAUCAACUAUAAUAAAAAAAUUUUUUAAAGGCUUCCAAGUAGUUUGCACAAGGUACUCUCUUGAAAAUAUUUUGCUCUUUCAAAUUAAUGCAAGAAGUAAAAGAACAUCUCAUAUAUUUAGAUCUGAAUGCAGUCUCCUUUAGAAUAUGAAUUUGAAACAACCUUGCUUUGAAUUCAGGAUGUUUGGUAGUUUAAUUUUCUCAUCCUGACACUGGUUAUAAAUUUAGAUAUAUUUAGGUUUUCCAAAAUGGGCAUUAUAUAGUCUGGAAUUUCAUUAAGCCUGAGCAAGAACUUACCUGGUUGCUGACGAGGAUUGGACCUUAGAAAGAGAAAGACUUAAAGAACAUGAGAAAAUGGAAGCAGAGCUUUUGUAGAAUCACAAAGAGAUAUGUGGGGCCUUAGAACUGUCUUGAAACUGCGUUUUUCUGUCGGGAACGCAGGAGCUAAAAUACAGUUGAGGCUGGGCUGACAGAAUCAGGUCAAAGUGUUCUUCAUUUUGAAGGGUUUUAAUGUGGAGUUCCUUGGAUGGAGCUGAACCUAUAAAACUGGGGAAAAGAAAAACACUUCAGCAGACACCUGGACUUUCCUCAAUAGCUAAAUUUAGCAGGUUAAUCAAUGUCACCGUAAAUGACCAGGUGCUACCGAAAUUUUUAUCAAAACAUCCAAAGUAUUCAAUAACAAAAUAGGAACAAAUCAAUAAAUACUCCCCUAAACAAAAAUAUAAUCAAUCAAGUUGGUUAUUUGCAGCAUUUAAAAUAAAAUUCCUGCUACUAGCUAAUUCAUUUCUUAAGAAGCUUACUUUAGAAUAGCUCUAGAUUUACCAAAAAAAUUAGAGAGUACAGAGAGUUCCAGUUUAUGCCACACCUGGUUUCCCUUAUUAUUAAUCAAUUACAUUAUUACAUUACAUUAUUAAUCCACAUCAGUACAGUACAUUGUCACAUCUUGUAAACCAAUAUUAAUUUUUUUUUCUUUUUAUGGUCGUACUUGCAGCAUAUGGAAUUUCCUGGGCUGGUGGUCAAAUUAGAGCUGCAGCUGCAAGUCACAGCCACAGCUGCAGCAUCUUGGGAUCUGAGCCACAUCUAUGACCUAUGCCACAGCUUGCAGCAAUGCUGGAUCCUUAAUGCAGUAAGUGAGGCCAGGGAUCGAACCUACAUCCUCACAGAUACUAUGUUGGGUUCUUUUUUUUUUUAGGGCUACACUUGCAGCAUAUGGAGGUUACCAGGCUAGGGGUCAAAUAGGAGCUAGCUGUACCUAUCAGUUUACACCACAGCCACAACACCACCAGAUCCAAGCCACAUCUGCAACCUAUACCACAACUCACAGCAACGCUGGAUCCUCAACCCACUGAGCGAGACCAGGGAUUGAACCCAUGUCUUCAUGGAUACUAGUCAGGUUAGUUACCGCUGUGCCACAACAGGAACUCCUGUAUUGGAUUCUUAACCUACUGAGCCACAGUGGGAACUCCUUAAUCUAUUAUUAUUAACUUUACAUACUUUAUUGAGAUUUCCUUAAUUUUUCCCCUGAUAUCUUUUUUUCUAUUCUAGGAUCCCAUGCAGGAUAUGGUAUUACAUUUAGUCAUCACAUUUUAGGUUGCAACAGUUUCUCAAACAUUCCUUGUUUUUGAUGGUUUUGAGAAGCCUUUAAUAAUCAGGUAUUUUGUAGAAUGUCUAUCAACUGGGAUUUGUCUGAUUUUUUUUCUCAUUUUUAGACUGGGUUGUGUAUUUUGGAAGGAAGACCACAGAUAUAAUGUGGCAAUCCUAGCAAAUCAUAUCAAGAUUAUAUGCUACCAAUGUGAUGUAUCACUCUUGAUAUUAACCUUGAUUACUGAGCUAAGGUGGUGUGCACCAUGCAAUUUUAAAUUGAUUUAUGUAUGAUAUUUUAUGUACUAAAUGACAUAUAUCAUAUAAAAGAGCUUGACAGAAUGUUCAUGUAACUUUGCUUUUUUUUAAAUCACUGUUUUCUUAAAAAAAAUUCACUCAAAUAUUUCUUUAAUUGAAACCAUAACUAUUUAAUAGUGUGUAACACCUGAUCCUAAACUCAGAUUAAACCUUAUGUGUCUUUGACUUCUGUGAGAUAACAUUGCAGGAUACUUCUCUUUUCUAAAGCGACAUAAAAACCCUCUAUUACUGGAGUUCCCAUUGUGGUUCAGCAUGUUACAAACCCAACUAGUAUCCAUGGGGGGGGCAGAUUUGAUCCCUGGCCUCUCUCGGUAGGUUAGGGAUCCCACAUUGCUGUGGCUGUGGUGUAAGCUGGCAGUUGCAGCUCUGAUUCAAUCCCUAGCCUGGAA